UAAUACGGAGGGUGCAAGCGUUGUUCGGAUUUAUUGGGCGUAAAGCGAGUGUAGGCGGUUUGUUAAGUCAGAAGUGAAAGCCCCGGGCUCAACCCGGGAAGUGCUUUUGAAACUGGCAGACUUGAGUACGGGAGAGGGUAGAGGUAUUCUAGGGGUAGCGGUAAAAUGCAAUAAUCCCUAGAGGACCACCUGUGGCGAAAGCGUCUAACUAGAACGGGUCUGACGGUGAGGAACGAAAGCUAGGGGAGCGAACCGGAUUAGAUACCCGAGUAGUCCUAGCCGUAAACACUGUAAGUUAGGUGUUGCAUAUUCCACGAGAAUAUGCAAUGUCGGAGCGAAGGCGUUAAACUUACCGCCUGGGUAGUACGGUCGCAAGACUG
rnacentral:rRNA from 1 species